GUCCUGAGAUGUGAAAUACGGUGGUUGGAUGAGAACACAGUGCGCUUUGAGCUCUGUAUCACAGCUCGUGGAAAUGCCAGAGUGGGGGCUUUUCACUCAGGAGGGCGGUGUGGAUGCAAAGGGAAAACCUCUUUCCCUCACAAUGGACCUGGAACCAGUGUCCUUCAUCAGUCUUCUUAAAGUAGGUCAUUUCAGUGUAACCCUAUUAAUAAUAAUAACAAUGAAGAUUCCUUUUCCCCAGAUGGGCAGCAACAGUUCAGAAAAGCUGCUUCUCAGAGGGAAGAGUCAAGUCAGUAAUAAGAGGACCUCCUUUAAGAGGGUGAUGCUUCUUUUAGGGAGAAGAGGGUUAAAUGUAGUGUCAGGAAUAUCCGUUCCUUCGUAUCCGCAGUGUUUUUGAGGAUGGUUUGUGUCUUUCUCUGUUCUAUAAGGAAUCACAGUGAGAGACACGGAGGUCGUGCCCUCGUGGGCUUUGCAGUGGGCCAUGUCGUGAGUGUGGCAGAGUGUGAUGGGGGUGUUUGGCUACCAGCUGGAAGGGGAUUUAUGGGUUUAAAAUCGCAAGAGAAUCACAUUGUGUCGGUAUAUUUAUUACCUGCCACAGUCAGGCACAAAACCCUGCCGUUCCAGGAGUCGGUGCAGAGCGAGUCUGUGUCCCCACGAACCUCGAGACUGCUUGCUGUUCCUGCUGGCUGUUAAGCUGUCACGUUUUCGAGGUGCUCGCCGCCAGCGCCAUGCUCUCCAGGUAGGACACGCCCGCCCGCGGGGCAGGCGCACCUCUGCAGUGGGGCAGCGGGAAGCACCUUCUCGCCUGAACAUGGAGAGAUAAGGCGCCCUCCGGCAGGCAGGCCCGCGUGACCAGGAGCUGUGCCCGCCGAGGCCGUCAAAAUGGAGCGCUCCCGGGAGGCCGAGGCGGAGCUGAGAGGGGGCCGCAGCCCGCCCAGGGCCAGCCGGAGCCCCGAGGCGGACGGGGACAGGGCGCUGAGCUACAGCUGCUGUAUCUGCGGCAAGACCUUCCCCUUCCAGAGCUCACUGUCCCAGCACAUGCGCAAGCACACGGGCGAGAAGCCCUACAAGUGCCCCUAUUGCGACCACCGCGCCGCGCAGAAGGGCAACCUCAAGAUCCACAUCCGCGGGCACCGCGCAGGCACGCUCACCCAGGGCCGCGAGCCUGAGGCGGCCGAGACGCGCGUGUCCGAGGGGCUUGGCGGCUGCACCAGCCCCACCAAGAGCACGUCGGCCUGCAACCGCAUCCUGAACGGCGCCACGCAGGCGGACACCGGCAAGAUCCUGCUGCGCAGCACGCGGAAGGAGGCGGAGGGUGCGGCGGCGGGGCAGUGCGCCUUCUGCGAGAGCAGGUUCGAGCGCAAGAAGGACCUGGCGUGGCACGUGCAGCAGGCGCACAAGCCCUUCACGUGCCGCCUGUGCAGCUACGCCACCCUGCGUGAGGAGGCCCUGCUCAGUCACGUCGAGAAGGAUCACAUCGCGGCGCAGGGGCCUCGCGGAGACGCCUUCGCCGAAAACGGCAAGCCAGAGCUGCCGCCCGGCGAGUUCCCCUGCGAGGUGUGCGGCCAGGCCUUCAGCCAGACCUGGUUCCUGAAGGCGCACAUGAAGAAGCACAGGGGCUCCUUCGACCACGGCUGCCACAUCUGCGGCCGGAGAUUCAAGGAGCCGUGGUUCCUGAAAAACCACAUGAAGGCGCAUGGCCCGAAGGCGGGGAGCAAAAACAGGCCCCGGAGCGAGCUGGAGCCCGUGGCCACCAUCAACGACGUGGUGCAAGAAGAGGUGAUCGUGGCCGGUCUGAGCCUCUACGAAGUCUGCACUAAGUGUGGGAACCUGUUUACGAACCUGGACAGCUUGAACGCGCACAACGCCAUCCACCGCCGGGUGGAGGCCGGCCAACCACGGGCCGCCGUUGGGGAGGGCUCAGCGACUGGCCCUGCCGAUUCCCAGCAGCUCUUCCUUCAGUGCCUGAACCUGCGCCCGGCGGCCGGCACGCCCGCCCGCGGGCAGACUGGGCGGCGCGUGGCCGAGCUGGACCCGGUCAACAGCUACCAGGCCUGGCAGCUGGCCACCCGGGGCAAGGUGGCCGAGCCGGCCGAGUACCUCAAGUACGCGGCGUGGGACGAGGCGCUGGCCGGGGACGUGGCCUUCGACAAGGAGCGACGCGAGUUCAUCCUGGUGAGCCAGGAGAAGCGCAAGCGCGAGCCUGAGCCGGGUGCACAGGGCCCCCCGCGCAAGAGGGUGGGCGCACCCGGGGACCCCGCGCCCGGGCCCCCAGAUCCCCGGCCUGCCGCGCGCCCCAGCCGCCGCGCCGCCGUCCCCGCCGGCCACGGCAAGUCGUCCGAGUGCUUCGAGUGCGGCAAGAUCUUCCGCACGUACCACCAGAUGGUGCUGCACUCGCGGGUGCACCGCCGCGCGCGCCGCGACCGAGAGCGCGGCGGCCCAGGGGACCGUGCGCUGCGCGCCCGCGGCGGCUCCCUCAGCGAGGGCGACUCGGCCUCGCAGCCCAGCAGCCCCGGGUCGGGCUGCGCCGCCGCCGACUCCCCGGGCUCGGGCCUCGCUGAUGAGGCUGCUGAUGAGAGCGGAGAGGAGGUCCCGGCCCAUCCCGGAGCAGGGGCAGAGUCACACCGCUGCUGCUUCCCAGAAGACGUCUCCUUGGCUGCGCUCUCCAACGGAGACCAAAGUCACACACUUGGAAACAGCCCAUCAGGAAGAGUGGCCGGGGAGCUUGGCACAGGGAUCGCGGCCCGCGUGUCCGUGCUUGAAAGCAGCAGCAGGGACGCUCCCAGGAGACCUGAGCCGCCUCGGUGUUCUGUGGACUUGAAGACACCAGCGUGUGGCCCCCAGCAGGAGGGCCCGGGCCCCAGGGACGCGGCUGACCUCCCUUCAUGCCCAGCCCAGGCGGCGGGUCUGCAGCCGCCCUCUGAGAGCCAGGCCACCUACCCCCGGGAGAGGCCGCCCGAUUUGCACACCAAGGAGCACCCCGCGGGGAAGCGGGCACCAGCCCCAGACCUGGUCCCACUGGACCUGAGUGAGCGGUCCUCGCGGGACGAUCCCGGCCGCCGGGAGCUGGCCUCCUCGCUGCAGGCGGCGCUGGCCGUGCACCCGUGUCCCUACUGCAGCCAUAAGACCUACUACCCCGAGGUACUCUGGAUGCACAAGCGUGUCUGGCACCGCGUCAGCGGCCAGGCCAUGGCCCCGCAGUGGACUCAGCCCAACGGCUACAAGAGCAUCAAGAGCAACCUGGUGUUCCUGGCCCGGAGCGGACGCACGGGCCCCCCGCCCGCCCUCGGGGGCAAGGAGUGCCAGCCUCUGCCCAUCGCCCGGUUCACCCGCACCCAGGUGCCGGGCGGGGUCCCGGGCCCCAAAGGCAGCCCCUCGCCCCUGGGGGUGCCCACGAAAGCUGCCGGCCUGCCCCGGAGCAAGGAGGGACACCCCGGGGCACCCUGUGCGCUCUGGACGGCCGGCCCCGACGGGACUCGGCAGACCCGGCCUGGCCCUGGCCCGGAGCAGCCUCUGCCCAGGCCCAAACAGGAGACCAGCCCCAGACCCGGGCCCGCGGGAGGCAGCGGGGGCUUCAGCAGGAGCGCUACCCCGACGCCCACUGUUAUCACCCGGGCGGGCCCCCAGGCCCCUGCCAGCAGCAGGCAGGGGGCGGGCCUCGGGCCCCCAAAUAAGCACAGUGCCCCAGACCCCCCCAAAGCCAAAUUCAGCCCUCAGCCUCAGGGUCAGCCGCACGGGAAAGGCGACGGGGGCACCCCUCUACCUCCCCGGGAGUCCCCCUCCAAGGCCGGCUCCAGAGGGCCCGCAGCCCCUCAGGGCCCACCCGCCCCGCACCCCGUCAAGCAGGAGCCGGCGUCCGAGGGCCCCGAGAAGCGCCUGGACCUCCUCAGCAUCUUCAAGACAUACAUCCCGAAGGACCUGGCUUCCCUUUACCAGAGCUGGGGUGCCAGCAGCCCUGUGCUCGAGCGCAGAGGUGAGAGCUGCGGUCCCGCCUGCCCGCCCCAGGACCUCAGGGAGCCCCCCGCAUCCCUGGGACCUCAGGGAGCCCCCGCCUGCCUGCACCCGGGACCUCAGCGGGAGCCCCCCGCCCCACCUGGACCUCAGGGAGCCCCCACCCUCCUGGACCUCAGGGAGCCCCCACCUGCCCACACCCGGGACCUCAGCGGGAGCCCCCCGCCCCACGUGGACCUCAGGGAGCCCCCACCCCCCUGGACCUCAGGGAGCCCCCACCCCCCUGGACCUCAGGGAGCCCCCGCCUGCCCACACCCGGGAUCUCAGGGGGAGCCCCCAGCCCCAGGGACCUCAGGGAGCCCCCCGCAGCCCCGGGACCUCAGCAGGAGCCCCCCGCAUCCCCGGGACCUCAGGGAGCCCCCACCUGCCCGCACCUCCGGGACCUCAGGGAGCCCUCCGCCCCCCCGGGACCUCAGGGGGAGCCCCCCUUGGACCUCAGGGAGCCCCCACCCCCCUGGAACUCAGGGAGCCCCCACCCCCCUGGACCUCAGGGAGUCCCCGCCUGCCCAUACCCAGGACCUCAGGGGGAGCCCCCUGCCCCCGGGACCUCAGGGAGCCCCCCACCCCCUUGGACCUCAGGGAGUCCCCCGUCUGCCUGCCCCUGGGACCUCAGGGAGCCCCCCGCCCCCCCAGGACCUCAGGGAGUCCCCGCCUGCCCGCCCCUGGGACCUCAGGGAGCCCCCCGCACCCCCGGGACCUCAGGGGGAGCCCCCAGCCCCCCCGGACCUCAGGGAGCCCCCUGUUUGCUCCCACCGGGACCUCAGGGAGCACCCGCCUCCCCCAGGAUCUCACGGUGAGCCCCCCGCCUGGCUGACGACCUCAGGGGAGCCCCCCACCUGCCCUCCCGCUCGGGGACCUCAGGAAGCCCCCCACCCCCUCAGGGAGCCCCUGCCUGCCCACCCCCGGGACCUUAGGGAGUCCCUCACACCCUGA
rnacentral:lncRNA from 1 species